GACGAACGCUGGCGGCGUGCUUAACACAUGCAAGUCGAACGGAAAGGCCCUGCUGGGGUGGGGUGCUCGAGUGGCGAACGGGUGAGUAACACGUGAGUAACCUGCCCUUGACUUUGGUAUAACUGCAGGAAACGGGGGCUAAUACCGGAUAGGAGCUCCGGCUGCAUGGGGGGGGGGGGAAAGUUUCGGCGGUUGGGGAUGGACCCGCGGCUUAUCAGCUUGUUGGUGGGGUAGUGGCUUACCAAGGCUUUGACGGGUAGCCGGCCUGAGAGGGUGACCGGCCACAUUGGGACUGAGAUACGGCCCAGACUCCUACGGGAGGCAGCAGUGGGGAAUAUUGCGCAAUGGGCGGAAGCCUGAUGCAGCAACGCCGCGUGCGGGAUGACGGCCUUCGGGUUGUAAACCGCUUUCGCCUGUGACGAAGCGUGAGUGACGGUAAUGGGUAAAGAAGCACCGGCUAACUACGUG
rnacentral:rRNA from 1 species